rnacentral:lncRNA from 1 species
UGUUUUAUAACACUAAAUUGCCCCGAACAUGUGUGUCACCUCUUUUUCUAUACUUGUCAAAAAUACAACUCCACUUUUGUUGUACAUCCCUCACAUUGAAUGACUCAUCAUGCUUUCGUGGAGUUGAUUUUCUUUCUGUUCCUCUUGAUAGGAUCACGCAGACACUGUUUGACCUAAUUGAACUAUGCUUUUCAAUUGAUGACCAAGUUAUUUUUGUGAUUCUCAAAAUAAUCUCCUUAAUUUUGAAAGAAGGCUUCAACUUGUCACCAAAUGUCUCAGCACUCUACCUAUUUUCUCAGGUUCUUUUUCUAACCUUAGCCCUCUGAUUCCAUGUUUCAUGGUUAAAUUGGACUUUAAGAUCUGACUGAAAAUUCUGCAAGCAUGUCAUAUCACUAGAGUCAACAUAAAAUGUACUGUAUAAAGAGAACAAACAAAUAAUACAUAUUUAAAACACAAAGGAAAAGGAACAAUUCAUUUAGUUGAAAUAAAAGAUAGAAGGGUUUGAACAUAAACGACAAAAGGACAAAACAAGAUAGAUUUUGAACUACAAUCCUGAAAUAAUUCAAAAACCAAAAAUGAAAACAAAAUAAAGUAUCAGACCUCUUCCUAGAAGCGAGAGAGGUGACUUCUCAAUUGCUCAUCCUGACAACUUAGCCACUGGUUUGCAUAUCAGCAUGACUAGAGCUUCCCUCACUGUCAAUGUUCUGCACCAUAAUUGGUCUAUCUUGAAUCAUCUUUUCAAUUUCUCUUUUCAAAUCUCUACAAUCUUCAAUACUAUGACCCUGAGCAUCAGAAUGAUACGUACACCGUACAUUAGGAUCAAAAAUUCUUGAACGCCGAUUAAGAGUACACCCAAAGAGAGAAGUGAUCAUUCACCAUUGUACCAAUCUCUAAAAUAAACUGGCAUACGACUCUCCAAUUGGUGUGAAGCUAUCUCUCAACUUCUACCUCAUUUCAUCGUUUGGCUUAGAUUGAAAAUCAGGCUUAGAAUGGUUUUGGUAUGUUUGUGGAGUUAGAGGAUGACUCUGAGGAGUUGGUGUGUUCCACUGUGGGUAAGAUGGGGUUGAAAAGGUGGCUGUGUGUUAUAUACUGGAUAUGGAGGUGGAGGAGCAGAGUAUAAUGGAUUUUGGGAGUGAUUAUAUGAAGCUUGGGUAUGAACUUGGGUUUGAGCCUGAGAGUGACGACAACGGGGUCUUCUUGACCGUUUCCGCUAUCCAACUACAAUAGAAGAUGCAUCUUCCUCAUUCUUUGUCUCCUCAACACUUCCUGAACCCUUUUGAAUUGCUUGAGUUAUCGCUUUCAAUGUUUCAAAACUCACAAUGCGACCUGUCUUAAUUCCCUUUUCUAUCAUCUCCCCCAUUUUAAGGACCUCAAUAAAUGACUUGCUUAAUGCAGGUAACAAGUGUUGAUAAUAUGUUUCAUCCUGCGCUUGAAUAAAUACCUCUACUAUUUUGCUUUCUUUCAUUGGUGGUUUUACUCUAGCAGCUUGUUUGCGCCAUCUGUUUGCAUACUCCCUGAAACUCCCAGUAUUAUUUUUUUAUACUAGUUAGGAAUUUUUCGUCAGGGAUAAAAUCCACAUUGUAUUGAAAUUGUUGCACAAAUUCAUUAUCUAGCUCAUCACAACUAAUCCACUUGUCAAUGUCUUGGUCAACAAACCAUUCCGAAGCUAGCCCUGAAAGACUCCCCGAAAUAAGCCAUGAGUAGUUCUUCUUUCCCUUCAGCACCUCUGAAUUGGUUACAAUAGCGCCUCAAAUGUGCCUCUGGGUUCCCCAUGUCCAUCAUAUUUCUCAAACUUUGGCAUUUUAAAACCAGGAGGAAAGUUGACACCUAGAAACAUGCAUAAGUCCUUAUAUGAGAUUUGUAACCCCCAAGUCCUUGCAAGUUCUUCAUAUCCAGUUCCAAACUUUUCAAGUUUCUGGUCAUUUCCUCUUGUUCUUCUGUCAUAACAGGCUUCUCAGUGUUAGGAGAAAAUUCAGGCGGGUGAGUGUCAUCGUAAAGACCAGUCAACUUGAAUGUAGUCUUAGAAGUGUAACGCUGAUCACCAAUAAUAUCCAAUGUAGACUCUCUUAUAAAGUAGAGAGGCACAACUUGUGGAUGAACAUAAAAAAUAGGAGCUUCAGGUGGGGUAGCACCGCAAAAGCAUGAACAGCAGGUGGAGUCGAGUAUGUGGUAGUCUUGGAUUGGGGAGUGAGGAAAUGAACAUUGGAAGUGGUUGGAUAUUGUUGCCCUGGAUUCGAUCCUGAUGUAUGUUAUGACAUAUCAACAAAAAUAGGAAAUUGUGCAUGUGACACGGGAGGCAAGCUAGAAAGAUAUUCCAAAUUAUCAGUGAGAACCAAAGGAGGCGGCAACCUAUUAGCCCAAACACGAUGCAUUUCUAUCAUUUACUGCCUUAAUUUCUGAAUCUCUUCAUUAGCUCCUAAAUUCUUAUUUCCCGACCUCCCUGUCUGAUUAGUGACAACAAACUCGGUAUCCUUGUUGGCCAUAACUUUCUCUAUGACUUGGUGCAAUAUGAAGAACCAGCCAAAAUAACACAAACCAACCACCUUAAACUAAUUGGAUAAGAGAUAGCAAAUGCGUUAGAGUUCAAUAAUUUUUCAAAACCUCUUUUUUUUAAAAGAUCACCGAACCCAAGAAGGGCACAUACGUAUCUCGCCCCCGAGAGGGGAGAAUCAGGUGUGCGUAGUUUGUAAAGUCUUGCCAAAAUGGACAAUUAAACUCGUUUUCUUUUUUUUUCUUGAAACUUUAAGAACAAAACAGAAUAAUAAAUUGUCAAAAGAAUUGACGAGAAAUCUUUUUUUUUGCGUUUUUCAGUUUUAACAUCCCUAUACAAUCUGAAACCUACUAUUACCCAAGAAUUAUUUUUUUUUGAGUUUUAAAUUUUGAAUUUAAUAUGAAAAUGAAACUUGAACCUAUUAAAGGAAUUUUUUUUUUUGUGAUUUUCGUUUAAAGAUAUAUAUGAAACACCUAUUCUAAAUGAAGAGUGAAGAAAAUCUUUUAUGAUUUUUUUUCAUAUUCCUAUACAAAAUGAAACCUAUGAUUAACAAAGAAAAUCUUUUGGGGUUUUCAAUUUUGAAUUUCAAAUGAAAAUUGAAACUAUUAAAGAAAAUUUUUUUUGCAGCUUUCUUUUAAAGAAGUAUAUGAAACACUUACUCUAAAUAAAGAGUGAACAAAAUCUUUUUGAAUUUUUCAAAUAAGAUCCCCGAACCAGCAAUAGGCUGCCUACAUAUCUCACUCCCGAAAGAGGAGAAUCAAGGGUGUGUAAUUCUUCCAAAUUGGACAAUUAAGGAUUAUAGAACAAACAAAACCUUGACUUGAGAGACACGACUACGGACAGACGAUGAACAAUAUCAAUAAAAUCUUUUUUGGGAUUUUUAAUUAAAAACUAACACCAACAACUAUGAAAGUAAAAAAAAAACUUUUUGAUAUUUUCAUUAUAUAAAUAUGUACAAAGCUCCUAUUGAAAGAAAAAAAAUAUUUUGGAAUUUUCAAAUUGUGAACGCUUACUAAAGAAAUAAAAAGAAAAUCUUUUUGACGUUUUUUUUUUUGAGAAAAUGAGUGCAAAAAGUAAAAAUCUUUUUGAAUUUUUGAAUUUUGGAAAACAAAAUCCAUAAAGAACCCCAAAAACUAUGACCCUCUUCUUUUGACUCACUUUUUUUUUUCCAACACUGUCUUGUCUAUACACUUUAUUCUAACACACACUUUCCCUAAAUCAGUCCAUCAAAUGACCACGUUACCUUCAGAGAUGCAAUAUUUAGCACGUAGGGACGCUUUAGAGGUGAGUCUCCUACAAAGGACCAAGUGGACCCAGCUAGGCCUCAAUACGAUGCACAUAGCAUGACCUAAAGGCUGACCUACGUUUGAGUUCACUAACACGGCUGUUCGGGGAGCGUAUGAUCGAUAGUGGAUUGCUUUAGCUGUCCACCUACUCCAUACAACCCAACGGCUCCUCCUCUUAAAAUGAGGGUGACUCAACUAUAAGUCAUGUACACACGUGUACUAUGGACUUGUUGCAGAAAGAAAGACUCGGGUUAUGCACAUGAUACCAGAUAUAAGGCGGUAAUACAUAAAGUAAAAUUGUAAACAAAGAACAUGUAGGCACUCAACAAUGAUAAACAAUAACACAAAACAACACAAACAAAAUGUCUAUACACCUAUAGUGCCAAACUAAGCCGAUACAACUCCAAAAUAAGCUCGAAUUUUGAAAAAUCCCCAGCAGAGUCACCAGAGCUGUCACACCCCUUUUUUAACUCCAAAAAGAUUAUUUUUAAGUUCGAAAGGGGUUUUAUUGUUAAAGUGACAAAAGAUUGAAAAUUGUUUCGAAAAGGAUUCAUUUUACAAUUAAUCUCAGAGUUGCCACUUGGCAUAAAUCGGGUGUGCCAAGUCACCCUUGGAUAUCCUUUUUCAAAAUAGUUUGACUCUCUUAAACUGGUUUGCGAACAGAGUUCCGGCUUAGGAAUUCUGUUGAUCGAGGGGAAGGUGUUAGGCACCCCUCGAUCCCUUGAUUCGAGCAUGGUCGCUUAGUGGAGUAUAUAAGCUAAUUUGACAUCACAAAUGUAUAAACCACACAAAGCACGUAAAACAAUCAAUCAAACACACGAAACAAACAAAUCCAAAAUAUAAUGUUCAAUCCAAUUAUACAGUCCAAAAUAACUAAUAAAAAAAAUGCAAAAAAUAAAUCCUAUUCUAUCCUACACUAAUUCUAACAUGCUUCAGUGCUUUACCCAAUGCCUCGGGCCUUCAUCACGAACGUCCUCCGGAUACAAAAUACUUCAGGACAUUCCCCGGUGAAUAAACACAAGUACCUUGGAGCAUUCCUCGGCCAAAUGAAUACACUUCCAAAUAUGACAAAAACAAAACAUUCAACGAACAUUUUCAUCAUUCAAAAAUCAAAAGUCCUAAUUUUGCCUACCCGAGCCUACCGUUUGCCUACCCAACAUGACCUAUCAUGGUACUAUCAUAAUCAGGAACAUCAACGAACCAAAACAACAAUAUUUCAACUUAUUCGAUUAUCAAUUCCCCCAAAUCAUUCCCAAUCACAUUAUUAAUCAAUGUUAACGAAAAUCAAGCAAGCAAAGUUAUAAUCACAACAAUUAAAAUUUCUCAAACACACUAUCAAAAUAUAUCACCAAUCCAACAUGAAUCAUGCAAUCCAUAACAUCAAAACAUCAACUCCAUAAUAAAAUAGUAAUAGAAAGAGAUAGAGUUGAAAAUUUAGACCUCAAAUUUGACGUUUUAUUUCAAUGGAAUUGCUCGACGAAGCGGCACUGGAAUACCUCGAUUUGAACCUCAAAUAUAAACCCCAACUCGAAAUAGAUUUCAACGAGCUUGGAUGGAAUCGAAAGUAAAAUCGGGGUUUGCUUAACUGCUCUCUAUAGUUGUAGCUCCGGCGAGCUUCGAUUACUGAAAACGAAGAAGGAAUACGGCUGUGACGUGUUUUCUGGUGAAUCCGUCGCUGGGACAGUAACCAAACCAUGAAAAAUUAUGUUCCCUUAGCUCCGUGUUACUCUCUUCUCUCUCGAUCUCAACUCUCUUUUCUCGAUCUCCCUGUUUUGGUCCCAAAUUUUCCUUCUAUCAGUCCUUAAUUCUCUAUUUUUUUAUGAACCUUUCGAUCUCUCCGGCCAACCAACUUGAUCUCUCCUCUCACGUCAUCCUCCUGUCAGCUCUCUCUCUCUAUUUGUGUAUUGUGCGAGUAUGGUUGAGUGAUGAUGAAAAAUGGAGGAGGGUGCAUGUAUGACUGUUGCGUGAGAAUGAGUAUCAAUUGUUCUCUGUUUUGUGGUGUAUAUAUUUCUGUGUGUGUUGAGUGAUCUUGAAGAAGACAAAGGGAAAGCAAUGGCGUGUGUUUAUUCUAUUUUUGGUGAGGAUCUAUGGAAUUGUGAGUAUGUGUGUGAAUCGUGAGUGAAGGUCCCCCUUUUUUUUGUCUAGUGAUGGUGUAUAUGUGAAUGAUGUUUUAUUUUUUUUUUGGAGAGCAAAAGCAUUUUCCAGUGGGUUCUCUUUUUUCUUUUGUGUCCAGGUGUCUUUUUUUUGGUUUGGAAAUUAUCCAUGUAUCUAUAUUGUAUUCCCUGUGCGCCGCCAUUUUGUUAUGGAAAAGGAAUAAAAUGUGGGGGGUGGAAUAGGUUG